AACUGGACUUGCUGCAGAUAUGGUAAACGCCCACCACUUCGUCCUUCCCCAUGAUCUGUGACAAGAAAAUGAAAGGAUGGAGAGAUGGAGAGCUACCAUGCAAUAGAGGUGAGGCUCGCCUUGCCAUGUGCAGAGCAUGCUCCUGGGGAAGAUUUUAGAACAACAAGCUGACCUUCUAAACACAUUCCUCAAAUAUUGUAUAGUCUUAUUGCCAGGAAGAGGACCUACAAGAAGAACAUUUUUUUCCCCACCAGUCUGAGAAGUCAUUACAGAAAGUGGGGCAAAGAAGCCCUUGGACCAACUCAUAGAGUUUGACCCAUGGCUGGGUUACUGCAGCGACUGAAUUUCCUUUUGGACGUACCUGUUAGACAUCCUAAUUAACCAACCUAUAAAAUUGUGAAAAUCAGUGCUGGGUAUGUAUGCCCCAUCACCACCAGAACACCUGGAAGCUUCCAAAACAGGAUCUGCUUUUUGCUUUACUCUUUUAACGCUAUUGCAAGGUUUAGGUUUUUUUUUUCUCUUUUGAUUAUACACAACAGCACAACAGAGCAAACAUUCUCCUAGAGCACCAGCACCUUGUCCUCUCAGCCCCACAGGUACAUUAAAAGCCAACUUCAGAAUGUUUUGCUAAGAGCAAGCUCAAGUUCUGCUGUCUA